CCUACGGGAGGCUGCAGUGGGGAAUUUUGGGCAAUGGGGGAAACCCUGACCCAGCAACGCCGCGUGAAGGAUGAAGUAUUUCGGUAUGUAAACUUCGAAAGAAUAGGAAGAAUCAAUGACGGUACUAUUUAUAAGGUCCGGCUAACUACGUGCCAGCAGCCGCGGUAAUACGUAGGGACCAAGCGUUGUUCGGAUUUACUGGGCGUAAAGGGCGCGUAGGCGGCUUGACAAGUCACUUGUGAAAUCUCCGGGCUUAACUCGGAACGGCCAAGUGAAACUGUCAUGCUAGAGUGCAGAAGGGGCAAUCGGAAUUCUUGGUGUAGCGGUGAAAUGCGUAGAUAUCAAGAGGAACACCUGAGGUGAAGACGGGUUGCUGGGCUGACACUGACGCUGAGGCGCGAAAGCCAGGGGAGCAAACGGGAUUAGAUACCCCAGUAGUC
rnacentral:rRNA from 1 species